AGCGUACACGGUGGAUGCCCUGGCAGUCAGAGGCGAUGAAGGACGUGCUAAUCUGCGAUAAGCGUCGGUAAGGUGAUAUGAACCGUUAUAACCGGCGAUUUCCGAAUGGGGAAACCCAGUGUGUUUCGACACACUAUCAUUAACUGAAUCCAUAGGUUAAUGAGGCGAACCGGGGGAACUGAAACAUCUAAGUACCCCGAGGAAAAGAAAUCAACCGAGAUUCCCCCAGUAGCGGCGAGCGAACGGGGAGCAGCCCAGAGCCUGAAUCAGUGUGUGUGUUAGUGGAAGCGUCUGGAAAGGCGCGCGAUACAGGGUGACAGCCCCGUACACAAAAAUGCACAUGCUGUGAGCUCGAUGAGUAGGGCGGGACACGUGGUAUCCUGUCUGAAUAUGGGGGGACCAUCCUCCAAGGCUAAAUACUCCUGACUGACCGAUAGUGAACCAGUACCGUGAGGGAAAGGCGAAAAGAACCCCGGCGAGGGGAGUGAAAAAGAACCUGAAACCGUGUACGUACAAGCAGUGGGAGCACGCUUAGGCGUGUGACUGCGUACCUUUUGUAUAAUGGGUCAGCGACUUAUAUUCUGUAGCAAGGUUAACCGAAUAGGGGAGCCGAAGGGAAACCGAGUCUUAACUGGGCGUUAAGUUGCAGGGUAUAGACCCGAAACCCGGUGAUCUAGCCAUGGGCAGGUUGAAGGUUGGGUAACACUAACUGGAGGACCGAACCGACUAAUGUUGAAAAAUUAGCGGAUGACUUGUGGCUGGGGGUGAAAGGCCAAUCAAACCGGGAGAUAGCUGGUUCUCCCCGAAAGCUAUUUAGGUAGCGCCUCGUGAAUUCAUCUCCGGGGGUAGAGCACUGUUUCGGCAAGGGGGUCAUCCCGACUUACCAACCCGAUGCAAACUGCGAAUACCGGAGAAUGUUAUCACGGGAGACACACGGCGGGUGCUAACGUCCGUCGUGAAGAGGGAAACAACCCAGACCGCCAGCUAAGGUCCCAAAGUCAUGGUUAAGUGGGAAACGAUGUGGGAAGGCCCAGACAGCCAGGAUGUUGGCUUAGAAGCAGCCAUCAUUUAAAGAAAGCGUAAUAGCUCACUGGUCGAGUCGGCCUGCGCGGAAGAUGUAACGGGGCUAAACCAUGCACCGAAGCUGCGGCAGCGACGCUUAUGCGUUGUUGGGUAGGGGAGCGUUCUGUAAGCCUGCGAAGGUGUGCUGUGAGGCAUGCUGGAGGUAUCAGAAGUGCGAAUGCUGACAUAAGUAACGAUAAAGCGGGUGAAAAGCCCGCUCGCCGGAAGACCAAGGGUUCCUGUCCAACGUUAAUCGGGGCAGGGUGAGUCGACCCCUAAGGCGAGGCCGAAAGGCGUAGUCGAUGGGAAACAGGUUAAUAUUCCUGUACUUGGUGUUACUGCGAAGGGGGGACGGAGAAGGCUAUGUUGGCCGGGCGACGGUUGUCCCGGUUUAAGCGUGUAGGCUGGUUUUCCAGGCAAAUCCGGAAAAUCAAGGCUGAGGCGUGAUGACGAGGCACUACGGUGCUGAAGCAACAAAUGCCCUGCUUCCAGGAAAAGCCUCUAAGCAUCAGGUAACAUCAAAUCGUACCCCAAACCGACACAGGUGGUCAGGUAGAGAAUACCAAGGCGCUUGAGAGAACUCGGGUGAAGGAACUAGGCAAAAUGGUGCCGUAACUUCGGGAGAAGGCACGCUGAUAUGUAGGUGAAGCGACUUGCUCGUGGAGCUGAAAUCAGUCGAAGAUACCAGCUGGCUGCAACUGUUUAUUAAAAACACAGCACUGUGCAAACACGAAAGUGGACGUAUACGGUGUGACGCCUGCCCGGUGCCGGAAGGUUAAUUGAUGGGGUCAGCGCAAGCGAAGCUCUUGAUCGAAGCCCCGGUAAACGGCGGCCGUAACUAUAACGGUCCUAAGGUAGCGAAAUUCCUUGUCGGGUAAGUUCCGACCUGCACGAAUGGCGUAAUGAUGGCCAGGCUGUCUCCACCCGAGACUCAGUGAAAUUGAACUCGCUGUGAAGAUGCAGUGUACCCGCGGCAAGACGGAAAGACCCCGUGAACCUUUACUAUAGCUUGACACUGAACAUUGAGCCUUGAUGUGUAGGAUAGGUGGGAGGCUUGGAAGUGUGGACGCCAGUCUGCAUGGAGCCGACCUUGAAAUACCACCCUUUAAUGUUUGAUGUUCUAACGUUGACCCGUAAUCCGGGUUGCGGACAGUGUCUGGUGGGUAGUUUGACUGGGGCGGUCUCCUCCUAAAGAGUAACGGAGGAGCACGAAGGUUGGCUAAUCCUGGUCGGACAUCAGGAGGUUAGUGCAAUGGCAUAAGCCAGCUUGACUGCGAGCGUGACGGCGCGAGCAGGUGCGAAAGCAGGUCAUAGUGAUCCGGUGGUUCUGAAUGGAAGGGCCAUCGCUCAACGGAUAAAAGGUACUCCGGGGAUAACAGGCUGAUACCGCCCAAGAGUUCAUAUCGACGGCGGUGUUUGGCACCUCGAUGUCGGCUCAUCACAUCCUGGGGCUGAAGUAGGUCCCAAGGGUAUGGCUGUUCGCCAUUUAAAGUGGUACGCGAGCUGGGUUUAGAACGUCGUGAGACAGUUCGGUCCCUAUCUGCCGUGGGCGCUGGAGAACUGAGGGGGGCUGCUCCUAGUACGAGAGGACCGGAGUGGACGCAUCACUGGUGUUCGGGUUGUCAUGCCAAUGGCACUGCCCGGUAGCUAAAUGCGGAAGAGAUAAGUGCUGAAAGCAUCUAAGCACGAAACUUGCCCCGAGAUGAGUUCUCCCUGACUCCUUGA
rnacentral:rRNA from 1 species